rnacentral:rRNA from 1 species
UUGUCUCUCUUGAGUGGAUCCUGAGUACGACGGAGCACGUGAAAUUCCGUCGGAAUCUGGGAGGACCAUCUCCUAAGGCUAAAUACUCUCUAGUGACCGAUAGUGAACCAGUACCGUGAGGGAAAGGUGAAAAGCACCCCGGAAGGGGAGUGAAAUAGAACCUGAAACCGUGUGCUUACAAGUAGUCAGAGCCCGUUAAUGGGUGAUGGCGUGCCUUUUGUAGAAUGAACCGGCGAGUUACGAUUUGAUGCAAGGUUAAGCAGUAAAUGUGGAGCCGUAGCGAAAGCGAGUCUGAAUAGGGCGUUUAGUAUUUGGUCGUAGACCCGAAACCAGGUGAUCUACCCUUGGUCAGGUUGAAGUUCAGGUAACACUGAAUGGAGGACCGAACCGACUUACGUUGAAAAGUGAGCGGAUGAACUGAGGGUAGCGGAGAAAUUCCAAUCGAACCUGGAGAUAGCUGGUUCUCUCCGAAAUAGCUUUAGGGCUAGCCUCAAGUGAUGAUUAUUGGAGGUAGAGCACUGUUUGGACGAGGGGCCCCUCUCGGGUUACCGAAUUCAGACAAACUCCGAAUGCCAAUUAAUUUAACUUGGGAGUCAGAACAUGGGUGAUAAGGUCCGUGUUCGAAAGGGAAACAGCCCAGACCACCAGCUAAGGUCCCAAAAUAUAUGUUAAGUGGAAAAGGAUGUGGCGUUGCCCAGACAACUAGGAUGUUGGCUUAGAAGCAGCCAUCAUUUAAAGAGUGCGUAAUAGCUCACUAGUCGAGUGACACUGCGCCGAAAAUGUACCGGGGCUAAACAUAUUACCGAAGCUGUGGAUUGUCCUUUGGACAAUGGUAGGAGAGCGUUCUAAGGGCGUUGAAGCAUGAUCGUAAGGACAUGUGGAGCGCUUAGAAGUGAGAAUGCCGGUGUGAGUAGCGAAAGACGGGUGAGAAUCCCGUCCACCGAUUGACUAAGGUUUCCAGAGGAAGGCUCGUCCGCUCUGGGUUAGUCGGGUCCUAAGCUGAGGCCGACAGGCGUAGGCGAUGGAUAACAGGUUGAUAUUCCUGUACCACCUAUAAUCGUUUUAAUCGAUGGGGGGACGCAGUAGGAUAGGCGAAGCGUGCGAUUGGAUUGCACGUCUAAGCAGUAAGGCUGAGUAUUAGGCAAAUCCGGUACUCGUUAAGGCUGAGCUGUGAUGGGGAGAAGACAUUG